ensembl:lncRNA
AAAAUAAAUAAAACGUAAAUUUAUUAUAUCCAUAUAUUUAUAUAUGCGUAUAUAUAUAUAUAUAUAUAUAUAUAUAUGACAAAACUAAAGUGGGGAAAAUAAAAAACAUAGCAAUACAGAAAGUUGCAUACUUACCAAAAACAUAUACUGUUGUAAAAAAAAAAAAAAAAAAAAAAAUCAACAAAUUAAUCUUAAUUGUCAUAUUUUUUUUUUUUUUUUUUUUUUUAAUUUUUUUUUUUUUUUUUUACUUUAUUUUAUUUUACUUUAUUUUAUUUUACGUUACUUUAUUUUAUUUCACUUUAUUUUAUUUGAUUUUAUUUAUUGAAUUAAAAAUUUUGUAUUUGUUUGCAUUUUUUUAAUUUACCCCAUGUAUAAUCAAACUUACUUACGUACAUAUAUUCACUCUUAUGUACGUAUAUUAACAAGUGUGUACGUAUAGUAUCAUCGAUAUUCUUAAAUUAACACCUAUGUACGUAUAUUCACAUUUAUUAUUAUUUUUUUUUUUUUUUUACGCUUAUUUACAUUUAUUUUAUUUGAUUUAUUUAUUUUAUUUAAUUUAUUUAUUUUAUUUAUUUUUUGUUAUAUCCAUGUGCGAAAAUAGUGUAUUGCGCCUAAAUGGAUGCGUAUAGGUACCCCAUAAACAAACGAGCGAAAAAGCAUGAUAAUAGAAAAUAUAUGGUACAUCCUGAGAACGUAGUUUUCUUAGACUAUUUUACAAAAUUAAAAAGAAAAGCACUCGCUCAAGGUCAUAGUAAUUUGAUAAUAUCAUACUGUAAAAUAAUUUCUUCUAUUUUAAAAUAUCCAUUACCUAUUAGAACUAGUCUUGAUGCAUUUAAAUUAAAAGGUGUUGGUAAAGGGUUUUCGCAUUGUUUUGAAAAAGCUCUUAUACAAGCGAAAGAAGAAAAUAAUUUUAAUGAUGUUACUAAUGGAAAUGCUUCAUAUAAUGGAGGUCCGCUUCGAAUUGUUAGUUACGUCAAUGCAGUUACUAAUAAUGUUAACACUUUUUUAAAAACAUUCGAUAAUGAUAUUUAUAACAUCAGACAAAUAGGAGAACUAUCAGAUGAUAGUGUUGUAAAGAAUCUAAAGGAGAUUGAAAACGAUUAUUCAGAUAGUAGUGAUUAUAUAUUAAAUAAUAAAAAAACAUCCAAAAAAAAAUCAAAAAAAGAUAACGAAAAAUCAAAAAAAGAUAACGAAAAAUCAAAAAAAGAUAAAGAAAAAUCAAAAAAAGAUAACGAAAAAUCAAAAAAAGAUAACGAAAAAACAAAAAAGGGUAACAAAAUAAUAUGUGACCAAAAUAGUAAUGAUGAAUUCAAUGAAAAUAAUGAUAAUUUUUCUAUAAUGAAAAGUCCCAGUAUACAAGAAAGUAAUAAUGUCUUGUCGGAAAAGAAAAACUUAAGCACAUACGAAAAUAACAAUAGCUUAUCUAUAACGAAAAAUUCAUAUACAUACGAAAAUAGCGAAAACUUGAACAAUUAUACGAUCAAAGCUAGCCAUGAAAUAAAUAUGAGUGAACUUUUUUUAGAAUGUGAAGGAAAAUCUACAAAAAAAAAAAAACCUUUUCCAAGUAUGAGUGAAAAAAAAAGAAGAAAAAAUACUACUACAACUGCAGUUGUUAGUAAUGAUAGUGGCAAAACUAGUUCUAUUAAUAAAAACAAAAAUAUUGAUUUAAAUGAUUUUGAUAAAAAUACGCUUAAUUUAUUAAACACAUAUGGUCAGUUGUAUACCGAUUGUGCAAUGAGUACAGAAGAAAUAGCUAUUGCUUUUGCAAAGUAUUAUGGAAAAGCAGAAAAAGUGAAUUUUAUAAAAUUAAGAAGAUUAAUAAGGUUAGAGUUAAUUGAAAAAUUAGAAAACAUAGAAAACAGUUCUUUUCCUAUGUCUAGUAGGUUGGAAAACAAGUUGUCCUCUCCUGUUAUUAGCAACAGUAAUAAUACUGAUGAUGUAAUAACAAGUGAAACAUAUGACAAGGAUAAUAGAUUUUUUAAUAGUUCUAAUAUGUUAAAAAAAAUAAAUAAAAAGCUAAAUAUAGUGGUGAAAGUUAAAAUAACAUCAAAAGGUAAAGAUUUUUUAAAUAUGGAAAAAGAAAAAAUGGAGAAAGAAAUAAAAACAGGAAAUUCAGAUAUAGGUAUUGUAAAUGAUGGAUCUAAAGCAGAUAAUAAAAUAAACUCAGAAAAUGAGAGUUUUAAAAGUAUGGAAUACACAUCAACAAAAAUAAACGAAUCAAAAGAACUAAAAAAGGAAAUAAUAUAUAAUGAUGAAGAAAAAUAUGGUGAUAAAAAAUGUGAUGAAAAAGAUUAUUCGCUUAGUUAUUCAUCAUAUAGUGAUUAUUACAUAUCAUUUGAAACGUCUUGUAACAAAGAACUAAAUGAUUUUAGUAAUAAAAAACGAAGUGUUUUAGAAAUGAAAAAAUAUAACACGAAGUAUAAUUAUAUGAUUAGUAGUGGCAUUGAUAGUUGUAGUCCCAACAUAACUAACAUAUGUGAUGGUGAUAACGAUAUAAAAAGAUAUAAUGAAGAUUCAUAUAUAACCGUUGACAAUGACAAAAAUGGAAACAAUGGCAAUCUUAAUUUAUCAUUAAAAAUGGAUAUAAAAAAAAAUGAAAUACUUGAAAACUUAAAAUUAGAUUUCAAAGAAAGGUUAGAAAAAAAAAAAAAAAAAAUUAUGAAUAAUACAUUAAAUAAUGGUUGUACUGAAAAUAUGUUAAGCAAUCAUAUAUCUCAGAAUAAAAACAUUACAAAUGAUGAACAAUUAAAUAAUAAUAGAACUGGUCAAAAUUUAAGCGUAUAUACUUUGCAAUGUAAUAAAUUUAAAAAUGACGAAAAAUGUGAUGAACAGUGUUAUGAACAACUUGAUGAAAAG